rnacentral:lncRNA from 1 species
GCUCCACUCUCUAUAAUGGAUUCCACGCAGCUCCACCACCCUCUGACAAGCCACGACAAGAGCCGUCACCCUGCUCCACUCUCUAUAACGGAUUCCACGUGGCUCCACCACUCUCUGGCAAGUCACAACAAUGGACACCACUCCACCCUCCGCAGCAAGCUCCAUGUGGCCCUGGGUGACCUCUGACGCCACUCCUCUCCGUAACAAAUUCCAUAUGUCUCUGAAUGGCCCACUUCCAGACAGUUACAGACAUCGCUAUCAGUCGGUUACGCUCUCCGUAUAUAAAUAAGGACCCCCAGAUACGUUCUUUUCUAAGCUCUAAACUUUAUCUCGAAACUCUGUCAAAAUUUUUGCUCGAGCACUCUAUUUCUAUUGAAGCAGAGUACUGACUUGAGCGUCGGAGGGUCUUGCC